rnacentral:rRNA from 1 species
UAUUACAGGUACGGGCUCUGAGAGGAGUGGCCCGGAGAUGGGUACUGAGACACGGACCCAGGCCCUAUGGGGCGCAGCAGGCGAGAAAACUUUGCAAUGUGCGAAAGCACGACAAGGUUAAUCCGAGUGGUUUCUGCUAAAGGAACCUUUUGUUAGUCGUAGAAACACUAACGAAUAAGGGGUGGGCAAGUUCUGGUGUCAGCCGCCGCGGUAAAACCAGCACCUCAAGUGGUCAGGAUGAUUAUUGGGCCUAAAGCAUCCGUAGCCGGCUCUGUAAGUUUUCGGUUAAAUCUGUACGCUUAACGUACAGGCCGCCGGGAAUACUGCAGAGCUAGGGAGUGGGAGAGGUAGACGGUACUCGGGAGGAAGUGGUAAAAUGCUUUGAUCUCUCGAUGACCACCUGUGGCGAAGGCGGUCUACCAGAACACGUCCGACGGUGAGGGAUGAAAGCUGGGGGAGCAAACCGGAUUAGAUACCCGGGUAGUCCCAGCUGUAAACUAUGCAAACUCAGUGAUGCAUUGGCUUGUGGCCAAUGCAGUGUUGCAGGGAAGCCGUUAAGUUUGCCGCCUGGGAAGUACGUACGCAAGUAUGAAACUUAAAGGAAUUGGCGGGGGAGCACCACAA